AGAGUUUGAUUCUGGCUCAGGAUGAACGCUGGCGGCGCGCCUAACACAUGCAAGUCGAACGGCACCUAUCUUCGGAUAGAAGCGAGUGGCGAACGGCUGAGUAACACGUGGAGAACCUGCCCCCUCCCCCGGGAUAGCCGCCCGAAAGGACGGGUAAUACCGGAUACCCCGGGGUGCCGCAUGGCACCCCGGCUAAAGCCCCGACGGGAGGGGAUGGCUCCGCGGCCCAUCAGGUAGACGGCGGGGUGACGGCCCACCGUGCCGACAACGGGUAGCCGGGGUUGAGAGACCGACCGGCCAGAUUGGGACUGAGACACGGCCCAGACUCCUACGGGAGGCAGCAGUGGGGAAUCUUGCGCAAUGGGGGGAACCCUGACGCAGCGACGCCGCGUGCGGGACGGAGGCCUUCGGGUCGUAAACCGCUUUCAGCAGGGAAGAGUCAAGACUGUACCUGCAGAAGAAGCCCCGGCUAACUACGUGCCAGCAGCCGCGGUAAUACGUAGGGGGCGAGCGUUAUCCGGAUUCAUUGGGCGUAAAGCGCGCGUAGGCGGCCCGGCAGGCCGGGGGUCGAAGCGGGGGGCUCAACCCCCCGAAGCCCCCGGAACCUCCGCGGCUUGGGUCCGGUAGGGGAGGGUGGAACACCCGGUGUAGCGGUGGAAUGCGCAGAUAUCGGGUGGAACACCGGUGGCGAAGGCGGCCCUCUGGGCCGAGACCGACGCUGAGGCGCGAAAGCUGUGGGAGCGAAAA
rnacentral:rRNA from 1 species